GAUGAACGCUGGCGGCGUGCCUAAUACAUGCAAGUCGAGCGAAUGGAUUAAGAGCUUGCUCUUAUGAAGUUAGCGGCGGACGGGUGAGUAACACGUGGGUAACCUGCCCAUAAGACUGGGAUAACUCCGGGAAACCGGGGCUAAUACCGGAUAACAUUUUGAACCGCAUGGUUCGAAAUUGAAAGGCGGCUUCGGCUGCCACUUAUGGAUGGACACGCGUCGCAUUAGCUAGUUGGUGAGGUAACGGCUCACCAAGGCAACGAUGCGUAGCCGACCGGAGGGGGUGAUCGGCCACACUGGGACUGAGACACGGCCCAGACUCCUACGGGAGGCAGCAGUAGGGAAGCUUCCGCAAUGGACGAAAGUCUGACGGAGCAACGCCGCGUGAGUGAUGAAGGCUUUCGGGUCGUAAAACUCUGUUGUUAGGGAAGAACAAGUGCUAGUUGAAUAAGCUGGCACCUUGACGGUACCUAACCAGAAAGCCACGGCUAACUACGUGCCAGCCGCCGCGGUAA
rnacentral:rRNA from 1 species